rnacentral:rRNA from 1 species
AGAGUUUGAUCCUGGCUCAGAUUGAACGCUGGCGGCAGGCCUAACACAUGCAAGUCGAGCGGCAGCGGAAAGUAGCUUGCUACUUUGCCGGCGAGCGGCGGACGGGUGAGUAAUGUCUGGGAAACUGCCUGAUGGAGGGGGAUAACUACUGGAAACGGUAGCUAAUACCGCAUGACCUCGAAAGAGCAAAGUGGGGGAUCUUCGGACCUCACGCCAUCGGAUGUGCCCAGAUGGGAUUAGCUAGUAGGUGAGGUAAUGGCUCACCUAGGCGACGAUCCCUAGCUGGUCUGAGAGGAUGACCAGCCACACUGGAACUGAGACACGGUCCAGACUCCUACGGGAGGCAGCAGUGGGGAAUAUUGCACAAUGGGCGCAAGCCUGAUGCAGCCAUGCCGCGUGUGUGAAGAAGGCCUUAGGGUUGUAAAGCACUUUCAGCGAGGAGGAAGGCAUCACACUUAAUACGUGUGGUGAUUGACGUUACUCGCAGAAGAAGCACCGGCUAACUCCGUGCCAGCAGCCGCGGUAAUACGGAGGGUGCAAGCGUUAAUCGGAAUUACUGGGCGUAAAGCGCACGCAGGCGGUUUGUUAAGUCAGAUGUGAAAUCCCCGCGCUUAACGUGGGAACUGCAUUUGAAACUGGCAAGCUAGAGUCUUGUAGAGGGGGGUAGAAUUCCAGGUGUAGCGGUGAAAUGCGUAGAGAUCUGGAGGAAUACCGGUGGCGAAGGCGGCCCCCUGGACAAAGACUGACGCUCAAGUGCGAAAGCGUGGGGAGCAAACAGGAUUAGAUACCCUGGUAGUCCACGCUGUAAACGAUGUCGACUUGGAGGUUGUGCCCUUGAGGCGUGGCUUCCGGAGCUAACGCGUUAAGUCGACCGCCUGGGGAGUACGGCCGCAAGGUUAAAACUCAAAUGAAUUGACGGGGGCCCGCACAAGCGGUGGAGCAUGUGGUUUAAUUCGAUGCAACGCGAAGAACCUUACCUACUCUUGACAUCCACGGAAUUCGCCAGAGAUGGCUUAGUGCCUUCGGGAACCGUGAGACAGGUGCUGCAUGGCUGUCGUCAGCUCGUGUUGUGAAAUGUUGGGUUAAGUCCCGUAACGAGCGCAACCC